AUCGGAAUGGUAACAGAGAAGAUUACCAUGGCUCCUGCACAAAGAUGACACACAAAUUCAUCAAGCAUUCCUUUUUUUU
rnacentral:snRNA from 10 species